UCGGUGCUAGCCUUAUUUCCCAUAGAGUAUUCAAUCAUAUAUGUACUUAGAGAGGGCUCAUUUUCAAUUUCAACCAACUCAUAGUACCUCUUCCCUAGAAUGUCUCCAUUUCUUAGUCAUAUCCAAUCAAGCUUCAUAAAUAUAGCUCAUUUAACUUUCUUAGAUAAGGAAUCUCUUGCCGUUCCGGCUCCAUCCAUCUCUAAGCCUAUCAUUUUUCUCAAGAAGUGAACUUCGCCCUAAGGCCCAUCCUUCAAGGUUAUUCAUUUAUUAGGAAAGCANNNNNNNNNNNNNNNNNNNNNNNNNNNNNNNNNNNNNNNNNNNNNNNNNNNNNNNNNNNNNNNNNNNNNNNNNNNNNNNNNNNNNNNNNNNNNNNNNNNNNNNNNNNNNNNCCGAUUCAAGUCUUGGCCUAGAAUUCCUCUUUUAGCAUUUAUAAAAAGGGUACCAUAUCUUAGUUCUAGCCCACUUCACAUAUUCGUGCAUUCAAGACUUCAAGUGACAAGAAGAGACAAUUUAGUCUACUAACCAAGUCACAACAUUAUCAUUUGAGGAUACUUUAUAAUCCAACAUCAUCACAUAUAUACCUCAUGAGAAUUCAUACUUUAGAUCACAAUGCUAUCCAUUUUACAUUGGAUCAUCACAACUCUUCAAUUCCCUAAACCUCUUGUAAUGAGAACAUCUUUCAAACCUAACUCAUAACUACCAAAGAUUCUCAAAAAGCCUUACCAUAAAGACAUAACAUCCCUCACUUAGAAGGAACUGAUACUGACUCUUUCAAUUUCAUCUUUUCCACCCUAUGGUAGGAUCACCACAACACUAAACUUCCAUACUCAUCACACCUAUGCCCCUUAAAAGACCACACUUCAUUAUCUCUUUCAAUGUACUUCAACAUCAACAUAUCUAAGUCGGAUUCUACCAAUAACACACAAAACCAUAAAGCAACUCAUCCAACCAAGAGUCAUCAUCACAACACUCACACCAUCUUCAUCAAGUCACAAAGCCAUAGUUGGCAUCACAACCAACCUAUUCCUCUCCCUCAACCCCUACGACAACAACAUCUCAAAGGUCACACUGUAAGGACCAUCACGUAUGGAACAGAGGAAGACAUUAUAGAGAGAAACUCCAUGGCACGACUAAAAGAAUGAAGAAGUGAAACUUUCUUAGCACCCAAUAGCCUCGUAUUAAUAAUGUGGUGCGCUUUACAUUAUGAACAAGACUUUACUAGAUGUGGUUUGAGACAACAUAAGACCAUUUCAAAACCUUAUGCUCUGAUACCAAGUUCGUCACAACCCGGGAGCACCCCCAAGUCGCGACACGGCGUACUAUACCUCUCGGAGGUCUAAUACAAGCCUCUUAGCAUUCAUUCAUCGCAUAGACACUAAAAACCAUCACGAAUUUAAAACUUUCUUCACACACGAAGAAUAAUUUCAUAAAUAAGCAAGCGGAAGAUUUUUAAAACAUCUAACCUUUACAAUAUAUAUGUCUCAUAAACCAUCUAAUACUUUGGAGUACAACAUAGGGACUAAGCCCAUACAAGACUUAAAGAAAAUGCUAGAAAUACAUCAAAAGGAACAUGUAGGGUAUUGUCCUCGAAUCUAUAAGGACUCACCAAGUCCUCAUCUUCAACACUUAGAAACCUAUAAAGUAGCCAUGACAUGUCACCAUCUCCAAAUCGCUACAAUUUAAUCAAAAAGGGAAAGAAAGUGGUUAGCACAAUUAGUACUAAGUAUGGAGACUAUGUAAAAACAUGCACAAUGGACAUUUACAAGGAAUGUAUGCUUUCAUAUCAUUUUGAUAAAACCUACACUUCACAAGUAUAAGAGACAUAAUACAAUUCAGCAUUCACAUAUAAGACUAUAUAUAGCCAACCAUACACCUACUCAACAUAUAUCCAUAUACAACCCAAAUGCUUAACUUUAAGAGAACACAUACAAUUUCAUUACCAUAAGACUUCUACCUAAUAUAACCUUAAGACACACUUGAGUGGGACAAGAAGUGACCGCCCAUACAACCUCUUCAAGCACACUUAAGUGUUCCCCAAGAUUACCUUAGAUAAGGAGACUUAUACAUAAUAGUAGUUAGACUUAGGGAACUCACUUUAGUAUCUUCUAGGCCUACUCGUGCCAUGUAUACGUAGCAUCCCAUACUACUACCUACACUUUAUAUAACCUAUCCAAUACUAAAGUGCACAUCCCAUUUGGUGGGAUUAGGCAUAACCGACAUAGACCAUACUAGCUAGGCAUGGAAUCCGGAGUCUAUCCUACUCCGUGCAGAUUGUUCUACUUGCCAAGGGUAGAACUAGGACACAUCCCAUGUAGGCACAUGGUUUAGGGGAUGUCCAAGAAAGUUCAUUGUGCCCUAGUCUCAUAACCACAUCCACUCGGUGCUAGCCUUGUUUCCCAUAGAGUAUUCAAUCACAUAUGUACUUAGAGAAGGUUCCUUUUCUAGUUCAACCAACUCAUAGUACCUCUUCCCAAGAAAGACGGUUAUACAUUUAUUUAGGAAAGCUAGACUUAUGAAAGGGCACCAUUUCUUAGUUUUGCCGAUUCAAGUCUUGGCCUAGAAUUCCUCUUUUAGCAUUUAUAGAAAGGGCACCAUUUCUUAGUUCUAGCUCAUUUCACACAUUCAUGCAUUCAAGACUUUAAGUAACAAGGAGGGACACUUUAGUCUACCAACCAAGUCACAACAUUUUCAUUUAAGGAUACUUCAUAAUCCAACAUCAUUUCAUAUAUACAUCAUGAGAAAUCAUACUUUAACUCACAAUGCUAUCCAUUUUACAUAGGAUCAUCACAAGAUCACGUAAAGUCAAUCUCAUCACAUCUUCACAUUUAGCUUCACAUAAAAAUUUACAUAUAGCUUCAUAUAGGACUUUACAUAUAGCCUCAUUUAUAUAUAUAAUAACACAACAAUACAACAAUACUCAUAUAAUGCCCUUUAUGGCCACAAUCAUAAUUCUAGAGCAACAAGAAACACUUCCACGAAAGGUGAAUCCAACCUAAGAAACAAUUAUAGCAAUAUUAAGAGAUCAAGUCAUCUUACCACCUUUCAAAGGCCAUAAGCCACAAUACUCUAUUCCAUGCCAAUUAUACAAUAUUCAUCAAGUUAGGUCAACUUUACCUCUUUCCAUAGCUAUCUUCAUCAUCCUCAUAUUCCAACAAUUAACAAUACAAUAACAAUGAUAUUAAAAACGUUCAACUACACAAGCUAAGCUAAACUAUAUCCAAUAACCAACAUAAAGGCUAAAUCCCAAUUUAUGACCAUUCUAGGAUACUACCUCACAUUAUACAAUUUAAUAACAAUUUCCAACAAUUCAACAUAGCUAAGAGCAUAUAAGAGCAGCCCACAUCAAACAACUCUAUAAUCCUUCAUCAAUUACUCAAAAUCAAUAGACCCACUUUAGGCCAAAUUUUGAGAAUUUAAGAAGACAUGGGUUCAAGAAGAUUUAUUUCUUAAAACCACCAAUAAUCAUUAAUAACAACCUAAAACAUCAUUUAAAAUCAAUUAAUGCAAGAAUCCAUGCUAGAAUUGAAAUUAGGUUUGUUUUUGAGUUUUUGAACAACUUUUGAAAUCUUUUGAAUUGACUCAUUGAUUGAAGAAGAAAUCAAAGAUGAAGUGUCCACAUACCUUAAUAUUCAAGAACCAAAUGAAAUUGAAGAAGAAACACCAUGAAAUCGUCAACCCUAGCUUUACUUGAACAUGACCUCCAAAGGAGUUUCUAGAGAGAAGACUUUGGGAGAGAAAGGAAAUAAGGUUUUGAUUUGGGGUCUAAAGAGAGUAAAUGACUUGUUAAAAAGACAUAAAACCCUAUAUAUUUAUCAAAUAAGUUAUUUAAAAUCAACCCCACAUAAUAAAACAUUAAAACGGAAUUACCAAAAACCCCUCAACUUGAGGCAGCCCGUAAGGGACCACGCCCAGCUAAACGGGUCGUGAGGGGCACUCCGGCUCGUGGUGGUGCCCGUGGUACCUGGACCAGUGAGCCUCUCCACCAUGUCAAGUCCUCAAGGGCCCAAGGCAUCUUCACGGGAGCUCCCACAAUCCGUGGUGCAAACCACGAAUCGUGGCGGAGCUCGUGAAGAUGAUGCAGCACCAAGGUAAAGUUCCCUUGCCUCCCUUGAGACCAAGUGAUCUUCACGCCCAAGUAUACGGACCGUCUAGGGCACCACUUGUCGCGGUGGUGCCCGUGGUCAUUGGGACAGUGAGCAGCCAACUUGGGACAGCCUUGGCUUUUUGGCUAAGGCUUGCCCUUUUUGGCUUGGCUCCUUGUCUAGCACCCUCAACCAACCUAGAGUAGGUCUCAUAACAUAGAAUCUAACACGUGCCUUGACGUUGACUCCUAAAACUCUUCAAACUACGCCUUAAAAGCCAAAACUUAUCAUUUAAACAAGAUAACCUCUACAAAAACACAUGAGAGGCUCUAGUUCUUCCUAUUUCAUUUUUAGGGUCGUUAUAUUAUCCACCACUUGGGAACAUUCGUCCUCGAAUGCUACUUAAACACUUUUCAAGGAAAACGACCAAAGUAAACAGCCCAUACUCAUGCAUACCAUAAUAUAAACCAUACACAUAAUAAGGAAGAACAUCACUCCAUAUCAAAGUCCCACAAUAACUUCAUGCAAUUCGAGAAACUAGGGACAACAUCUACUAACUCCUUAUGCAUCAUCUUUACCCUUUUCUCACGCUAUUGGAGGAACUUCCAUCUCCAAUUCACAUCAUGCUCAUUCAAACAUCAUCAAGCACAUCAUGCAAAUUUCUCAUUAAUGCACAAUUAUGCAACAUUUAUCUUAAGGCACAUUUAUGCAAUUCUCUCCUAAAGGCUCCAUAUGCAACUUCUCAAUAACACAUAAGGCAUGCUAACCAAGUCAACUCAUGCAGCAUUUAGGAAAAUCAUUACAUAUGCACAUCAACAUUAGGAACAUAACUUUAUGAAAACUCAUUUUCCCACUUUAACAAGAAUUCAUUUAAAUCAUGCCUAAUAUAAGGAGAUCGUGGAAAAAUCUUCUUUUUUUUUCACCUAAGACUCCAAGACAUGCUACAAGCUUCUAGGAACUUUUUGUUUUAGGCUUGAAUAGUCACAUAAUAAAAAGGUAAGGAUAUCAACACUCCUCAACCCCCUCACUACUCAACAUACCAUCCCCCACUUAAGGGUAAACCAAGUUAAGGACAACAUGGACAUGCCAUAAGAAUCUCAAGGGAAAGACCAUCAAUCUUACCAAAAACCAUUCUCACCCAACUCUUCAAUUCCCUAAACCUCUUGUAAUGAGAACAUCUUUCAAACCUAACUCAUGACUACCAAAGAUUCUCAAAAAGCCUUACCAUAAAGACACAACAUCCCCCACUUAGAAGGAACUGAUACCGACUCUUUCAAUUUCAUCUCUUCCACCGUAUGGUAGGAUCACCACAACACUAAACUUCCAUACUCAUCACACAUAUGCCCCUUAAAACACCGCACUCCAUCAUCUCUUUCAACAUACCUCAACAUCAACAUAUCUAAGUCGGAUUCUACCAAUAACACACAAAACCAUAAAGCAACUCAUCCAACCUAGAGUCAUCAUCACAAACUCUCACACCAUCUUCACUAAGUCAGAAAGCCAUAGUUGGCAUCACAACCAACCUAUUCCUCUCCCUCAACCCCUGUAACAACAACAUCUCACAGGUCACACUUUAAGGACCAUCACAUAGGGAACAAAGGAAGAAAUUAUAGAGAGAAACUCCAUGGCACGACUAAGAGAAUGAAGAAGUGAAACUUUCUUAGCACCCAAUAGCCUCCUAUUCAUAAUGUGGUGCGCUUCACAUUAUGAACAAGACAAUACUAGAUGUGGUUUGAGACAACCUAAGACUAUUUCAACACCUUAUGCUCUGAUACCAAGUUUGUCACGACCCAGGAGCAACCCCAAGUCACGACACGGCGUACUCGACCUCUCGGAGGUUUAAUACAAGCCUCUUAGGAUUCAUUCAUCGCAUAGACACUAAAAUCCAUUAGGAAUUUAAAACUUUCUUCACACACAAAGAAUACUUUCAUUAAUAAGCAAGCGGAAGACUUUUAAAACAUCUAAUCUUUACAAUAUAUAUGUCUCAUAUACCAUCUAAUACUUUGGAGUACAACAUAGGGACUAAGCCCAUACAAGACUUAAAGAAAAUGCUAGAAAUACAUCAAAAGGAACAUGUAGGGUAUUGUCCUCGUAUCUAUAUGGACUCACCAAGUCCUCAUCUUCAACACUUAAAAACCUAUCAAGUAGCCAUGACAUGUCACCAUCUCCAAAUCGCUACACUUUAGUCAAAAAGGGAAAAUAAAAGUUUAGCACAAUUAGUACUAAGUAUGGAGACCAUGCAAAAAUAUGCACAAUGGACAUUUACAAGGAGUGUAUGCUUUCAUAUCAUUUUGAUAAAACCUACACUUCACAAGUAUAAGAGACACAAUAGAAUUCAACAUUCACAUAUAAGACUAUAUAUAGCCAACCAUACACCUACUCAACAUAUAUCCAUAUACAACCCAAAUGCUUAACUUUAAGAGAACACUUGCCAUUUCAUUACCAUAGGACCUCUACCUAAUAUAAUCUUAAGACACACUUGAGUAAGACAAGAAGUGACUGCCCAUACAACCUCUUCAAGCACACUUAAGUGUUCCCCAAGAUUACCCUAGAUAAGGACAUUUCUUUUACAACAUAACAUUGAUAGACAGACAUUCUUUUAAGAAACCAUUUAGAAGAGAUACAAGCACAUUAGGGGACCUUCACAUAAUAGUCGUUAGACUUAGGGAACUCACUUUAGUAUCUUCAAAGCCUACUCGUGCCAUGUGUAGAUAGCAUCCCAUACUACUACCUACACUUUGUAGAACCUAUCAAGAAACCAUAAUGAAAUCUCACAUGAUGGGAAGUAAGCAUUUAACCGACAUAGACCAUGAGAGCUUGUCAUGGAAUCCGGUGUCAUGAGUCCCCACACCGAAAAGAGGUGGUCUACUUGCCUAAGGAAGACCGGUAUAUAUAGCUUAAUGGAUCCACUAGCUUCCUAUGCGGGCACAUAGUUUAUGGGAUAGUUCAACCAACUCAUAGUACCUCUUCCCAAGAAAGGCCCCAUUUCUUAGUCAUAGUCAAUCAAGGUUCAUAAGGAUAGCUCAUUUAACUUUCUUAGAUAAGGAUUCUCAUGCCGUUCCGGCUCCAUCCAUCUCUAAGUCUAUUAUUUCACUCAAGAAGGGAACAU
rnacentral:lncRNA from 1 species